CCAGACUGGAGUGCAGUGGCAUGAUCUCAGCUCACCGCAACCUCUGCCUCCCAGGAUCAAGUGAUUCUUCUGCCUAGUCUCCCAAGUAGCUGGGAUUACAAGUUCGUGCUACUACCGCCUGGGUUCAUGAGGCCUAAAGUCCUUGCUGUUUAAAUGCCCCACUGACAUGGACCCUUGAAGAGUUCCUGAGGGUCCAGCUUGAAAAUCUCUUAACCUGUAAAUUGUGCUGAAGGAGGCAGCUGAAUUAUACAUAAAGUUGAGAUGGUCAUUUAUAAGAUUCACUAGAACAGGGUUCUGCAAACUGCAAAUAUGUCUGCCAUCUGAUUUUGUGAAUGAAGUUUUACUGGAACACAGGUAAGCUCAUUCAUUUAUGUAUUGUCCAUGGCUGGUUUUGCACUGCAACUAUGGCAGAGUUAAGUAAUUAUGACAGACGAAAUGGUUGGGAAAGCCGAAAAUUCUUUUGGCUCUUUACAGUAAGUUUGCCCACCUCUGCUCUAGAAGAUGAUUUGGUAUCUUUCACUGUUUCAGAUAAUUAAUGAAAUGAAUAAACACACACCAAUAGAAUAUAGAAACAAAAUUUAUGAUCAAAGCUGAGACUAGUUACACUGAGGCCAAUCUAACUGCCUUCUGAGAGUCAGCAGCUUUGUUUUACUAAUCACAGUAAUUGUGUGUGAGGCGUGGGGUAGAUGUAAUGAAUAAAAAGUCCAAUAAAUUAAAAAGCACUUUAAGUUCUUUUUCUCUUAAUGAGAUAGAACACUACAAGAAACAAAGGUUCAUUUAAUAAAUAUAUUGAAUAUGUAAAAAUAUAACCUAAUUCCCUAUUUUAGUCAGAGGAGAGAUAAGAAGAAGAAAAAGAAGAUGUAGUGGUUGGGGGUAGAAACAGGAGCACACAAAAAGAAAAAAUCUACAGACAAAGUAGACUCUAGCAGUGUCUAGAACAAAAAUAGAUGCUCAAUAAGUAUAAUGAUCGAAUGAGUAUAAAUUAAAGGGCCUUUCUCACUUAUUCUGCAGGCUUUAAACUCAGUCAUCAUCUCUCAUUAGUGUCCUUUGAAAUGUAACUUGUCUGCAGAGUUCACUCACUUCCCUAAGAAUGAGAUGCAGACAGGGAAGGAGCUCUCCUCAGGGCUAGAUAAAAUCCAGAGGACUGUCUGGUCUGUGUUUAAAGGUUCUAAGUAGCUAUUUAUUUUGUUUCUCCUUCCAAAAUAUCUCAUUCCUACAGAAGGUCACAGGAGACUGUAAUCCUGUAUACAAUUAUUGGCCAACAUAAAUCAGUUCAGAACACUGUAGAAUAUGUACAACUUCAGGACACUGUGGUCUCUUCUCUUGGGAAUAAUAAACAUCUCCUAAAUUACACAGAGACAAUUUCUAUCAUGGGGUAAGGGGUUACUCUGUAAAAAUGCACUAAUGAAGAAAAGAAGAUUUAUUAUCACACAGAUUCAGUGUGCUCAAUGGGAGGAUACAAAAUUAAGAGACGGAGGUGCAUGUUUUUAAAGAUAUGUAAAUAUAGCAGUGGUUCUCCAUCUUUAGAAGGACCUGUAGGGCCUGUUAAAACCAAGACUGCUGAUGUCCAGCCCAAGUUUCUGAUUUAGUAGGUCUGGGGUUGGGCUAGGGUUGCCAGAAAAAAAAAACAAAAAAACGGCAAUGCCUAGUUGAAUUUGAAUUUCAGAGAAACUUUUUAUGUUCCAAAUUCUGCAAUAUUUUAUUUUUAUCUGCUAAAUCUAGCAACCCUAGAAUUUGCAUUUCUAACAGAUUUUGAAGAGAUGCUGAUGCUGCUGGUCUAGGGACCUUACUUUGAGAACCACUGAGAUAUAGGAUAUUACGUUAUCACCAAAAAGGAAAAACUGGGGGAGGAGGGAAGCUGAGUAGAUCAGGUAAGAGUUCCUGAAGGAAAGGACAAGGACAUGGGAUGGGUCUUUAAGGGUGCCUAGAAGCUAGCCAGAAGAAUACUGAGAGGAAAGCUUUGAGCAAAGGGGCAGAAAUGUCAGAAAAUGCCUGACGUUUUAAGGAAAUUACAAGAAGCUUAGUGUUGCUGGUGCAUAAAGUUUAAUGCAGGUGGUGGUAGAUAAAACUAAAAGGACAGAGGCCAGAAAGUACUAGGACCUUAUGUACCCUGUGAAAAAGCACUUAGGGGUUUACACUGUAAAACAGUCAGCUUACCCGAUGGGGAGCAAUUUAAAGGAUUUUAAGCAGAGCAGGGACUUGAUCAGAUUUGCAUUUUUAGAAAGAUCAUUUGGGUGGAGGAUCAGAAGCAUGAUUAUGUGUUCAAGAGUAUUUGAAAUACGGUUAUUUAUGGAAACCAUUUUUAAUAUAAUUCUGCACAGACACAGACUGCUGGAGGCUACACCAGAGAAGGGAAGGAAAUAGAACAAUACUCAAUUCAUUAUGAAAUUUAUUUAAAGUCCCUGCUAACUUGGCUCUCACUGAUGCCAGAAGGACAGCAUUUAAUUUUUAAAGAUACCAAAUAAAAAUGCAUGGUUACAAAA